AAAGUUCAAAUACAUUUUGUUAACAUUUUGAAAACAUUUAAUCCUUUAAAAGUGACAUUGGGGGGUUGUCAGAAAAAAUCUUUAAAAAAAAACAUAUAAUAAGAAUGAAUUAUAACAAAAAUUAGAUGACAAAAGGACUUUAAGCACACAUGUAGACAACCUCUGCACGUCCAUCACACACAUUGUGUUUUACACAAACUCUCACCUAAAUUGAUACACAACAGUAAACUCAAAUGAAAUAAUGAUACCAUAAUUAUAAAUCAUGACCUGACUCCAUAGGAUGAGAGAUCUUCAUCAACUCAUUUUUUAAUCUUCUGGAUAGUCUAUAACCUAUGGAGCUAUUGAAAAACAGGACAUCAUUGUUUAUCUCAGUUUUUAGAAAUGAUUUAUGCAUAUCCAUACUUCAUCUUAAAAAAGAAAAAUGCUUGCUUUCAGAAGACCUCAUGUAGCUGUAGCAUCUAUGAACAUAUUUUAGCAUGAUAAAGAUGAUAGUGAGCUUGAAUUGAAAAAAGUGCAUGAAAAAAAAAAAAAGACGGUGAAAACAACUAACAAUUUCAUCUUGUUUUUAGAAUGGUUUAUAUUUAUGUGCAUAUCUUUUACAAUUUGGGAAGAUGCAUCAGUGUGGAGAAAAUUAAAGCUUAAAAGACCUUCAGUUUUCUCCCAACACUGCCAACUAUUCCUUAUAAGGAAUAUUUGAACAAGACCACCAGGAAGACCUCAGAUAAAGACAGUUUCCUAGCCUUUAUGAACAACAGUGAAGACAACAAUGUUUAUAAACUGAGCAUAACAACUGAAUAGGGAAGAAGAGGUCUCAAUCCCAGUACCAACCAACCAAACAACCAUCUCUUGUAAACAGUGCAGUAAAAAUGUCUUUUGUCUAGUUUAUUUCUCUCUGAAUGACUAUGGUGGCUGUCGCCAUGAUUUCAACAGACAAAAUAUAAUUGUCAAGUAAGGUAAAAGUUUCAUAAAGACUAAAAAAAAUAUCUUUUUUUUUUAUAAAAAAAAAAAGGGGGGGGG